GGUAAAUGAGGGUAAGGAGCGAGUGUAAUAGGGAUGUUCCAAGCGGUAUCCGGAUGUGUGGGGCGUAAAGCGAGCGCAGAAGGUUAUUUAAGUAUGAAGUGAAAGCCCUCAGCGCAACUGAGGAAUUGCUUUGGAAACGGGAUGACUUGAGUGGAGUAGAGGAAAGUGGAACGCCAUGUGUAGCGGUGAAAUGCGUAGAUAUAUGGAAGAACACCAGUGGCGAAGGCGGCUUUCUGGACUGUAACUGACGUUGAGGCUCGAAAGUGUGGGUUGCAAACAGGAUUAGAUACCCUGGUAGUC
rnacentral:rRNA from 1 species